rnacentral:rRNA from 1 species
AGCGAACGUUUGCGGCGGGCCUAACACAUGCAAGUCGAACGCACUAGCAAUAGUGAGUGGCGCACGGGUGCGUAACACGUGGGUAAUCAACCCUUCAGCUUGGGAUAACGACUUGAAAGGGUCGCUAAUACCGGAUACGGCGCGAGAGGCUUCGGCUUCUCACGAGAAAGCCUCGCAAGGGGCACUGAAGGACGAGCCUGCGGCCCAUCAGCUAGUUGGUGAGGUAAGAGCUCACCAAGGCUAAGACGGGUAGCUGGUCUGAGAGGAUGAUCAGCCACACUGGAACUGAGACACGGUCCAGACUCCUACGGGAGGCAGCAGUGGGGAAUAUUGCGCAAUGGGCGAAAGCCUGACGCAGCCACGCCGCGUGAGCGAUGAAGGCCU